rnacentral:lncRNA from 1 species
AAAAAUUUAAUUUGCUAUUGUUUUGUAACUGGUAAGAUCUGCAAACAGGCGUUCAUGGUUCUGUCCCGUCAACAAACCUUUGAAACUUUUCUUCGCUUUCUCCUGUUUGGAUGUCUGGGUGGGUAAACAAUUUCCAUAGCAACGCUGGUGACGUUGGCUAAAAUGUCGCAAUAGAAGCUGUUGUUUCUUGUAUUUAUUGUCUCUUGUGUCUUUUAGAGGACUGUUUCACUUUGAUGUCCUUUUUCUUCUGUCCUUAUUUUGUCUUAUUUUGUCUUUUCUUUCCUUCUGUUAACUAGAUAUUCUUUGUUAUUCUUUGUUAGCUAGCUAGCUUCUUCCAGGAGAGGCCCUAGCAACUGCUUGGCAACAGUAUAUAAAUGCAGCAGGAGUGUGUGGCCCAUUCAGCAGUGGACAAGGUCCCCAAAUGGCACCCUAUUCCCUAUAUAGUGCACUACUUUAGACCAGGGCUCUAUCCCUAUAUAGUGCACAACUUUAAACCAGAGCCCAUAGGGCUAUGGCCACACAUAGGACACUAUGGCCCCAUCCGACGAUACCCCCCGGACAGGGCCCACCAGGCAGGACAGGGCCCACCAGGCAGGAUAUAACACCACCCACUUUACCAGGGCCCACCACUAGAGGGAUAUCAACAGACCAGGCUGAGUAUAGACCCCACACCACUAGAGGGAUAUCAACAGACCAGGCUGAGUAUAGACCCCACACCACUAGAGGGAUAUCAACAGACCAGGCUGAGUAUAGACCCCACACCACUAGAGGGAUCUCAACAGACCAGGCUGAGUAUAGACCCCACACCACUAGAGGGAUAUCAACAGACCAGGCUGAGUAUAGACCCCACACCACUAGAGGGAUAUCAACAGACCAGGCUGAGUAUAGACCCCACACCACUAGAGGGAUAUCAACAGACCACCAGGCUGAGUAUAGACCCCACACCACUAGAGGGAUAUCAACAGACCAGGCUGAGUAUAGACCCCACACCACUAGAGGGAUAUCAAC